GAAACUAACAAGGAUUCCCUUAGUAACGGCGAGUGAACCGGGAAGAGCUCAAAUUUGUAAUCUGGCUGUCUUCGAUAGUCCGAGUUGUAAUCUAUAGACGUGUUUUCCGUGCUGGACCGUAUCUAAGUCCCUUGGAACAGGGUAUCAAAGAGGGUGAUAAUCCCGUGCUUGAUACGACCACCAGUGCUCUGUGAUACACGCUCUACGAGUCGAGUUGUUUGGGAAUGCAGCUCAAAAUGGGUGGUAAAUUCCAUCUAAAGCUAAAUAUUGGCGAGAGACCGAUAGCGAACAAGUACCGUGAGGGAAAGAUGAAAAGCACUUUGGAAAGAGAGUUAAACAGUACGUGAAAUUGUUGAAAGGGAAACGAUUGAAGUCAGUCGUGUUCUUCAGAUUCAGCUGGUUCUUCCAGUCUACUUCUGUUGAACGGGUCAACAUCAGUUUUGUCCGGUGGAUAAAGGUAGUAGGAAUGUGACUCCUCCGGGAGUGUUAUAGCCUAUUAUUGCAUACACUGGGUGAGACUGAGGACUGCAGCUCGCCUUUUGGCCGGUCUUCGGACACGUUCGAGCUUAGGA
rnacentral:rRNA from 1 species